AGCUGUUCACUAACACUGUUACAUUUUCUGGAAUUUUCAAUUGAAUGGGAGAAUACGUAAGUAAGAUAGAGAAAAACUAUCGACAUUCUAAACAUAUUGUAAUAUUAACUUGCUAGAAUAGGAGAGACGAAUGCCCAAUUUUUCAAGAAGAAGAAAACGAAAAGCGCAGUUUAUUUUGGAUUUUAAAGAGAGAAACUAAAAGGCUUAACUAGGAGAAAAAGAAAACAUUUGGAGGAUUCAAGUAUAUUGGGUACAACAAACAAAUAAGAGAUUUUCGACGUGGAUCCUAUCAAUCAGUUAAGUUUUAGUUUUAAAUAAUGAAUAAGAAA